AGCGCAGGCGGUCUUUUUAAGUCUAAUGUGAAAGCCUUCGGCUCAACCGAAGAAGUGCAUUGGAAACUGGGAGACUUGAGUGCAGAAGAGGACAGUGGAACUCCAUGUGUAGCGGUGAAAUGCGUAGAUAUAUGGAAGAACACCAGUGGCGAAGGCGGCUGUCUGGUCUGCAACUGACGCUGAGGCUCGAAAGCAUGGGUAGCGAACA
rnacentral:rRNA from 1 species